UACACACUUAUUCGAUCAGCUUUCCUUUUCCUUUGUUCGUGCCUGAGCCUUCAGGUUGCUCAUACAUAACUGAAAAUAUUUAAUUUAAGCAAGGAUGAGCAUUUGAGUGCCCAACAAGUAAUAGCAAUUAUAUAUAUAAGCUGAAAGAAUAUAAGUAUUCUCUUUACAUAACACUUCAACAACGAAGCAAAAGUUGUGAAGUAAUCUGUACUGAUAAAAUUCAUAUAACAACUCUCUUUCAAAUUCUUGAAAUUAGGCUCUACCCAUGAAUAAGGUUUAAGAAACAUACUAUGAACAUUGUUUUUCAUUUUCGAAAAGGUUUAGCAAAAAUUCAUCCGCAAACCGCUCUAGCUUACGGGUACGGAGGGUGAUCAGCCCCGUUGUACCCUGUAUUGAUCAAUACUACAUA
rnacentral:lncRNA from 1 species